rnacentral:rRNA from 1 species
UACGGGGGGGGCAAGCGUUGUUCGGAAUUACUGGGCGUAAAGGGCGCGUAGGCGGCCUUCUAAGUCGAACGUGAAAUCCCCGGGCUCAACCCGGGAACUGCGUCCGAUACUGGAAGGCUUGAAUCCGGGAGAGGGAUGUGGAAUUCCAGGUGUAGCGGUGAAAUGCGUAGAUAUCGAGAGGAACACCUGCGGCGAAGGCGGGUUGCUGGGCCGACACUGACGCUGAUGCGCGAAAGCCAGGGGAGCGAACGGG